GCGUUUCGCGUGAAACGGAGGAGACAUUACAGGAAAUGAGAUCCGAAUCCCACUGAGGUGUGUAAACAUGUCGCACGCUUGAGCAAAUGAAAUUGCAUACAAGAUGGGGAGUGACACGAGGAGAUGAGACCGUGCGCAGAAACCAAGACCGGACGAGGUGGAGCGACGCUGAAGUGAUUCUCCAAAUAUGGGGAGUAGUCUGCAACCUCUGCGGGGCUGACACAUUACUGGCAUAGCUGAGCUUAUCGGUCCACGGGCACAUGGACUCUGAGCCACGCUAGGAAUUCCCGGAACACAAGGAAAGCAUUCGUGAGUUCCAGCGAAGCCUCGUGGAGCAGAGUCUGGAAAGUCCGGGCUGACUCAACGCGGCGUCACCCUUCCAGAAUGCAGCGAGCCAGCACAGACGACGAGCGAGAAAGGCAGACAGCGAGGCAGCAGGCGCGCUGUCUGAAAACGCAGCUGAGGAGUAAAGGUCAUGAUCUGAACUUGGCAUCGGUCGCAUGCUCAUCUGCAUUCGGACUGAGGGUCAGCGGCGCUCACCGGGGAGGGGAGCUGCGUGAUCAAGGAUAAGGGGGCUGCCAUUUUGCCACUUUCUGUCGACUGAAAAUGACAUCAUAGUUGCACAAGGCUCAGGUCACGACCAAUCAUGGCUCAGUUUCAGAAAACAGGUGAGCCGUGAUUGGUCGUUACCCGAGCCCUGCGCAACUGU